GUUCCAGACUCCUACGGGAGGCAGCAGUGGGGGAUAUUGCACAAUGGGGGGAACCCUGAUGCAGCGACGCCGCGUGGGUGAAGGAGCGUUUCGGCGCGUAAAGCCCUAUCGGCAGGGAAGAAGGAGGACGGUACCUGACUAAGAAGCCCCGGCUAACUACGUGCCAGCAGCCGCGGUAAUACGGAGGAUGCGAGCGUUAUCCGGAUUCAUUGGGUUUAAAGGGGGCGCAGGCGGGCCUUUAAGCCGGCGGGAAACGCGGGGGGCCCACCCCCGCCGAGCCGUCGGAACUGGGGGCCUUGAGUGCGGCGGAGGCAUGCGGAAUGCGCGGUGUAGCGGUGAAAUGCAUAGAUAUCGCGCAGAACCCCGAUUGCGAAGGCAGCGUGCCGGGCCGCCACUGACGCUGAGGCACGAAAGCGCGGGGAUCGAACAGGAUUAGAUACCCCAGUA
rnacentral:rRNA from 1 species